rnacentral:rRNA from 1 species
UAAGUUUGAUGGCGACCGGCGCACGGGUGGGUAACACGUAUCCAACCUGCCGAUGACUCGGGGAUAGCCUUUCGAAAGAAAGAUUAAUACCCGAUGGCAUAGUUCUUCCGCAUGGUAGAACUAUUAAAGAAUUUCGGUCAUCGAUGGGGAUGCGUUCCAUUAGGUUGUUGGCGGGGUAACGGCCCACCAAGCCUUCGAUGGAUAGGGGUUCUGAGAGGAGGUCCCCCACAUUGGAACUGAGACACGGUCCAA